ACCAUGCAGUCGAGCGGUAAGGCCCUUCGGGGUACACGAGCGGCGAACGGGUGAGUAACACGUGAGCAACCUGCCCCUGACUCCGGGAUAAGCGGUGGAAACGCCGUCUAAUACCGGAUACGACCCUCCUCCUCCUGGUGGGGGGUGGAAAGUUUUUCGGUUGGGGAUGGGCUCGCGGCCUAUCAGCUGGUUGGUGGGGUAACGGCCUACCAAGGCGAUUACGGGUAGCCGGCCUGAGAGGGCGACCGGCCACACUGGGACUGAGACACGGCCCAGACUCCUGCGGGAGGCAGCAGUGGGGAAUAUUGCGCAAUGGGCGAAAGCCUGACGCAGCGACGCCGCGUGGGGGAUGACGGCCUUCGGGUUGUAAACCUCUUUUACCACCAACGCAGGCCCCCGGUUUUCCGGGGGUUGACGGUAGGUGGGGAAUAAGGACCGGCUAACUACGUGCCAGCAGCCGCGGUAAUACGUAGGGUCCGAGCGUUGUCCGGAAUUAUUGGGCGUAAAGAGCUCGUAGGCGGCGUGUCGCGUCUGCUGUGAAAGACCGGGGCUUAACUCCGGUUCUGCAGUGGAUACGGGCAUGCUCGAGGUAGGUAGGGGAGACUGGAAUUCCUGGUGUAGCGGUGAAAUGCGCAGAUAUCAGGAGGAACACCGGUGGCGAAGGCGGGUCUCUGGGCCUUACCUGACGCUGAGGAGCGAAAGCAUGGGGAGCGAACAGGAUUAGAUACCCUGGUAGUCCAUGCCGUAAACGUUGGGCGCUAGGUGUGGGGACUUUCCACGGUUUCCGCGCCGUAGCUAACGCAUUAAGCGCCCCGCCUGGGGAGUACGGCCGCAAGGCUA
rnacentral:rRNA from 1 species